GAACAAGCCUGCAGGAUCCACCUGGACAUCACAAUGAAGCUGAUUUUUUCUCUCACUCUCAUCUGCGCGCUCUACAGCACAGCUGGAGCCCUAACCUGUACAGAGGGUUCGACCGAAACAUCAACAACAUGCAGCUCAGAGACCAUGUGCAUAGUAGCUACCUUCCUUGUAACUCAAAAUGGAACCUCAGCAUCACUAACCUACAAAGCCUGUGCAUCAUCCGCUCUGUGUCCGCUCACAGGCAAUACGACUGCUUCAGUCAACUUUGGUGCUCAAAGUGCAACUGCAUCUGCUCAGUGCUGCAACACUGACAACUGCAACUCACAAAAUCUGUCUUCACCCACUGCUCAGUCACCUAACUCCCUCCAGUGCAUUGCUU